AUGUAGGAUAAUGUGUGUUUUGAUGGUUAAGAUCAUCUUGGGUGUAGUAGCAGAAAAUAUUCAACUACAUUUUGGCGCUAGAAACUCGUGAAAGAACAUUAAUACUUCACUGCGAGCAAGUUUUGUAAGAGAUCCAGUGAAGAUCCGGUUGAAAUAAGUGCUUUAAGGGCAUUUUUUUUCAAAGAUUCGGGAUCUUCAGACAACAAAGUGUCUCGUCUGAGUCCAAACAAAGCCUAAGAGAAAGAAGUGCAGGCGAAGUUGAUGAGGCGGAGAUAUGAACAAAAACUUCAUCAAGCACUGGAAUCAAUAAAUUUGUCAUAAGCAGUCGAUUGGGAAUCGAAAAUUCUUCUUCCUAUCUCUCUUAUAUUGUUCUUAUUUCAUCAGAUCUACAAGUUGUGAGAAAAAUCUCUCACAUAAAUUUAAAUUUGAUUUUCACAAAAAUCAGAAAUUUAUUUCAAAAUCAUCUUUGAAAACAAGUUUUAUCUAUCGAUCUAUGGUUUCCAAACCUUGUUUUACAAACCCAUUAAGGGAUUUUCUCUGAAAAACACAAAAAUAGGGAUUUCUAGACUAAUUUAGUUUUUCCCUGUGAAUGAAAUUGAAUGAACUGUUGAUGAUAUAUCUCGUUCUUCAUACGAUAAAGGUUAACUUAUCUUUGUAUUGACUAAUCACCCACACGAUUUGUUGAUUGCAGUUAUACCACGAAGAUGGAAGAAGCUGCACGAUUAAAAUCGGAGCAGCGACAACAGCUCAGGAUUAUAGACCAUCAUUAACAUCGCCACCAUCUCGAGACCAACUGUAUAGAAUCACCGAUUCAAUCGAACUAUCUCAUACAACUCAAUUCGGAGCCUCAACCUCUAGGUGCUCGUAAAAAAGCAAUCAACACGAUGAUGUUUAACUCGAGCUCGUGACAGCGAUAUCGGACUCAACAGUUAUCUCCAAGUACAAAACUCGGACAGACAAUCAACCAAAUGGAGGAGAAAGAGACAUUCAGUCGCCAGGGGCGGAGCCACAUUGAGAGGUGGGUGUGCAAUUUCACCCCCUCAAAUGUGAGCUUCCAAGCCUCGUUUAAGCAAUUUUCCCUCAUUUUAUCCAUUUUAACCUUUUUGCACCCCCUAAAAUGUGCACCGGUUGAUAACUUACCCAACCAUUUCUAGAAUUCUUUUCUAGAAUUCUGGCUCCGCCCCUGUCAGUCGCUGAGCAAAAGCUCCAGCAGAAAGAUGAAUAGAACCUCAAAGGAGGAUGGACGAGCUCACAUAGAAGCAGUUCGCGAUGGCAGGCUUCCAUCAACACUUUAGCCUGAUUUAGGAAAAACGAUGAUGGACGAAAUCCCAUCGGAAUGAUUCACCAGCAUCGUGACUACAAGCCAUCCAGAGCUCGGACUACAAGCGAUAUCGGAAACACAAUCCAUAUCGGAGCAACCAUCUCGUACAACUCAAACAAGAGCAUCCAUCUCGGACAGAAUAGCAACAAAGCGAUGUCUCAACAACAAUCAUAGCCAGCACGAUAAGAGCUCGGACUCAGUCCAUAUCGAAUAUCUCAAUCGGAGCAACCAUCUCGUACUGGCAUUACCCCUCAGUUCGGAGCAUCAAUCUCGGACGAACAAUCAAAGCUCGGUCUAUAUCGGGCUAGAGCAACAUCGGAGCAAGAGUCAGCCAGCACAAUGUUGAUUCAAUAGAGCUCGGACUCAUCAGUUCACUUCUGAGCAUCAAUCUCGGACAAGCAGUACAACCAGAACAUGAACUCAGAGAUGAUGAUGGACGAAGUCACAUCGGAGCACCAAUCUCGGACAGACAAUGAAUGAGCCAACCAGAGCAUGAUCUCGUACUCACCAAGUCACCGGACCAGAAGCAAUGUCGGAUGAGAAACCAAUCAACACGAUAUGAGCCAACCAGAGCAUGAUCUCGUACAUACAAAGUCAUCGGUCAAGAAGCACGAACUCUGAUCGCAGAUGGAUAUCGGAUGAGAGCACGAUCUACUCAGACUCAUAUGAUGUUCAUCCAGAGCAUGGACUCGGACCUACCCGGACUUAUCACAAGUUCAUAUCUGAGCAGUAACUCGGAUGACACACCCUCCUCUCUUAAUUUUCUUUUCUUAUUGCAUACAUGACAUGGUAGAUUUGUAAUAGCUCAAUGAUUAUAUCAAAUGCUUAAAUAAAUGAUUCAUUUUUUGAGUUCAGAGAAAUUUAAUACAUUUCAU